CGCUGCUCGGCGGGACGGCGCUGGGCAGGCCGCGGGUCCGACCUGGAAGGACACUCGGGUGGGAUUUCGUUUCGUAGAGAGACGGGUGCACCAUCAGAUUUCGCGGCCAUGUUUGUUGUAGGGAAGAGAAGAGUGGCAGAGUUCCUCUUUCUCUGCCCCUUCCUGUCUGGGCUCCAACCUCCACUGCAGGUCAGCUGACUCUCUUCCUCCGGUGACUUCAGGCUGCCGACAGGAAACACUUCAGUUACACUCUCUGCCUGUCCAGGCUCUCCUGGAGGUAUUGAUCCUGUCACACCUGCGUGCCCGACACUAAAACCAGAACAUUACCCAUCCAUUAUCAGCUUCAGAUAUUUCUGUAGAGGAGAGAACACGACUGAUCAUAUCCUAUAAAGUGUUUUAUUCACAACCUGCAUGUUUAGCCCACAUACUUGAAAGGAGAAGUUCACCUAAAAAUGAAAACGUAGUCUCGGCUUACUCAACCUUCUUCGUAGUCCAUGAAACAUUUCUGGAGCAAUAUUGUCCUCAACAACUGAGGUAGAUGGGGACUUGUUUUAAAAUAUGUUUUAAAAAAAAAACAUAAAACAUAAAAUGGCACAGCUCAACUAUUGUAAUUCUGGGAGCCUCAAGAUCCCAAAUCUAUUUGAAAAGACAUUUUCACUCUCAUUGUGCCGUAGAACCUGUGUACCCACUUCAGACAGAGAAAGCACCAUUUCAGCCAUGAAAAAGGGUGUAAAUAACAUAUUUUCAAAUCAAUCUGGGAUCUCGGGGCUUCAAGAGACUAGGAGAGUGUCGGCACUUCACGUUAUAAAUCAAGUCCACGUUUACUUUAGUUGUUUGGGAAAACGCAGUAACGCGGUUUAUCUGUGAAGCUCCAAAACUUUGUGUGUACUUGUCCUUUCAGAAAUUAGCUUGAUUCAUAUUACAUUAUCUCUAAAACAGUGAUUAAAAAAACAUCAGCAGAGAUUUAAAACCACUUUCGAUAAAGAAAAACACAAGACCAAAGUUAAUGAAAAUGUACUAAAAUUUAAUCAUUCAUAAAAGCUGGAAAAUCAUCUGUGACAGCAAUAUUAGAGUUGGUUUAGUACAAUAUAUUUUCAGCCUCAAGACACAAAUCAGAACACACCAUUUUCCCCAUCAGUCUAUAAAAUACUAAUUUCCUUAGCUUUAUUAUGCAAAAAAUGGAAGUAGAAUAUAUUAUGGGAAAUAUGGAAGGCUUGCAGCUUUCAAUAUAAAACAAAGUCACUUAGGAAAGAUGUUAUCUCGUCAAUGCACAUCCUUGUAAGUAGGAGCGAGUAACUUAUGGACAAUGAUGCAUCUUUGUUGACACUGUUAGUGCAGAAAUGUAUGAGAAGGCCAACAUUUCACAUGUUUUCUUUUGCAAACGUUUUGUAACAAUAUGACAAAGAUUGAUGUUACUUUUAAUAAAACACAUUUUUAGUUCCCAUAUAUGGAUUUUAAACCCCACGGUCUCUUCUUUAAACCGAUAUUUCCAAAAGAAAGACUCCUUGGAGAAGAAAAAAUCUUAAAACGAGACAAAAACAGUUGUCAUCAGGCUGACAAUACAAUACAAAAAAAAAAA